rnacentral:rRNA from 1 species
GGGAAAUCUUACCGGGUCCGGACAUAUCGAGGAUUGACAGACAGUUAUACAUGCCCUACAAGUAGGAGUCAGGUUUUAAACCUAAUGGCUCUUUCAUGAUUAUAUGAUAGGUGGUGCAUGGCCGUUCUUAGUUCGUGGAGUGAUCUGUCUGCUUAAUUGCGUUUCAAAAUUUAACUUGAGGACCGGGUUUUGGUUUGGCUAGUGGUUCUACGAUGACUGUGAACUGUCAUGUCUUCGGAUGUGCGACUAUUGGUCUAGGAUCACAUGACUUGCCCCUGGGACUCUUUUGAACGCAACGGACGUGAUUGCAACCCCUUGUUGAGAUUAGAGAUAGUCUCGAUAUUCACUGGACAAACUGGCUGCUUUAUGCAGUCUUGUUGAAUGGUGGAUAAACUCGGGGGACUGCUGACUAUAACCAUUUCUCAAAACAGAGGAAGGUUGCGGCAAUAACAGGUCUGUGAUGCCCUCAGAUGUCCCGGGCUGCACACGUGCUACAAUGAGUGGCGCAAUGUGCUAAUGUUUAAGGGAUAAGAGUGUGGUCAGUAGAACGUCGGGAUUUCCCCUGACGUCUCCCCCGCACGAUUAUCAGCCUUCCCUUAACAGGGCGGGCAACCUUUUCAAAAUACUGGUUUGAUGUUAAAG